UGGAGAUAAUUCACCAAAACAUAAAGAGAGGGAUAGAUGGAGAUUGAAUAAUUGAAAGUGAACGUGGGUUUCCCUAUCCUUGUGGUCAUUCAUGGAUGUGAUUAUAGACCAAAAUAAAAUGGAUAUAUAGAUGGAGAUUGACUGUGAACCAGUGAAGGUGACAGCUUUUCUAAAGAAGUCCUGGGGGUCAUUCACUCAUUCAUGGAAGGAGCCACACAACUAUACAACUUUUGCAAUGAGUAGACGAUGACUAAGAAGAUUCCGGGUCAACUAGGGUCUAGCUGGCUAUUGCCUCCGUACGUACGACUCAUCUGAGAUGAAUUUGAUGGAUGCUGAUGAUGAAAGAUUGCAUUGCUCAGGACACAUGGAGAUAAUUCACCAAAACAUUGAGAGAGGGAUAGAUGGAAAUUGAAUACUUGAAAGUGAACUUGGGUUUCCCUAUCCUUGUGGUCAUU
rnacentral:lncRNA from 1 species